rnacentral:misc_RNA from 1 species
GAUGAAGAACGCAGUGAAAUGCGAUAAGUAAUGCGAAUUGCAGAAUUUCCGUGAGUCAUCGAAUCUUUGAACGCACAUUGCGCCCACUGGUAUUCCGGUGGGCAUGCCUGUUCGAGCGUCAUUAUCCUCCCUCAAACCCCGGGUUUGGUGUUGGACCCAAGUUGUGUGAACAACUGGUCUCAAAGACAAUGACGGCGUCCGUGGGACCCUCGGUGCAACGAGCUUUUAGGAGCACGCAUCGAGUUGCAAGGACCUUCCGGGCCGGUCUCCUUUACCAUUUUACAAGGUUGACCUCGGAUCAGGUAGGAAUACCCGCUGAACUUAAGCAUAUCAAUAAACGGAGGA